rnacentral:snoRNA from 1 species
UAUGCUAUGAUGAGAUGAAAACACAUAAGUGUUGAUGGGCAGUGGAUUUUGGAUCUUUCAUUUAUUUGGAAGGUCUGCCGUGAGCCCUCUCUUUCAAACGACUUCUCCUUCCACUGAGCUUC